UACGUAGGGGACGAGCGUUGUCCGGAGUUACUGGGCGUAAAGGGCACGCAGGCGGUCAUGUAAGUCUGUUCUGACAGCUCCUGGCUCAACCGGGAGAGGCGAACGGAAACUGCAUGACUUGAGGACUUCAGAGGGACACGGAAUUCCGGGUGGAGUGGUGAAAUGCGUAGAGAUCCGGAGGAACACCAAAGGCGAAGGCAGUGUCCUGGGAAGUACCUGACGCUCAGGUGCGAAAGCCAGGGGAGCGAACGGG
rnacentral:rRNA from 1 species